rnacentral:lncRNA from 1 species
ACAAGUGCCAUAGUUUGUAAAGUGCCAUACUAGGUGUUAGGAAAACAAAUGAUAAGUAACUCUUAAAUAUGGGGAGUACAUUACUCAAAUAUACAACACUUAAAGUACUAGAAACAAGGAAGCAAAAUAAACACUACCAGAUAGGGUAUCCACAUCUAACUCUAUCCACAGCCUGAAAGCAAGCACUACCCUGGGUUAUCACUAUUAUUUAUUCUUUUUAAUCCUUACCAUCAAUACAGAUGAUCACAAGUUGGACUGUAUUAAAGCAGGGCUCUAUUCCCUCACCCUAAGUACUCGAAGGCACACAGUCUUUGCUCUACACUGCCAACUGACCAACAGUAAAUGUGUGAGGAAGAGAACUCAUCCCUUACGAUAAAUUGCAAGCUCCAUGUGCAGAAGAGUCUGUUUUUCAAUGAUGUAUUCCAGUACCCUCCCUAGAACACAGCAAGCUAUUCAAAAAGAACUGAGUG